rfam:Oryza rufipogon genomic scaffold, chr10
AGAAAGGCAAACCCCGGAUUUUCGUGCCAAUGUUUAACUGUCCGUCUUAUAUGAAAUUUUUUUAUAAUUAGUAUUUUUUGUUGUUGUUAGAUGAUAAAACAUGAUUAAUACUUUAUACGUGACUUAUCUUUUUAAUUUUUUUCAUAUUUUUUUAAAUAAGACGGACGGUUAAACGUUGGACACGGAAAUCAGGGUUUGUCUUUUU